UGUGUAAUGUGUGGCUAUGUGACGUUGGCACUUCUACCAGAUACAACAGAAUUAGAUUUAUCUAUUUUCUUGAGCAUUGCUUGCAAUGUCAUGGCGAUCUUAUAUUGUACGACGAGCUAUUGGGUAGGCCUAUGGGUUUACAUGUACUGAGUAAUAAUGGAUUACGUGCACGGUAUUUGGAUCCUAUUCGUUAUACUUUUGGUGGUAGUAAUGAAAUAUUGCGUAAUAUUAUAUCUGGCUUUUAUCGUUGUUCUGAUUUAGAUGUUCAGAAUAACUUUAAAGUAUAUGCUGCUAUUGUUGAUAAUGCUGCGUUUGUAAUGCGAGAUAACAAGCUAGUUACGAAAUAUUGUAUUAGCAAGUACUAUGAGUUCAUAUUUAGCACUAAAUUAUCUGAUAAAUAUCGUUAUUUAGUUGCUAAUUGCAGUAAUGGAUAUAGGGAUUGUAUUGAAAUUAAACAUACUGAAAGUUUGUUUACUAAUAUAUAUUCUGAGAUCUUAGGUAGCACUAAGUUAUAUAAUGGUGUUUGUAUUGAAGCUGACAAUAAAACUAGUUUGUACAGCGAUGUACAGUUUGAUACUAUGUGUGACAAUAAGUCAUCUUAUGGUGUUAGUGUUGAUACUAUGUGUGGCAAUAAGUCAUCUUAUGCUGUUAGUGUUGAUACUAUGUGUGGCAAUAAGUCAUCUUAUGGUGUUAGGGUUAAUACUAUGUGUGACAAUAAGUCAUCUUAUGGUGUUAGUGUUGAUACUAUGUGUGGCAAUAAGUCAUCUUAUGCUGUUAGUGUUGAUACUAUGUGUGGCAAUAAGUCAUCUUAUGGUGUUAGUGUUGAUACUAUGUGUGACAAUAAGUCAUCUUAUGGAGUUAGUGUUGAUACUAUGUGUGACAAUAAGUCAUCUUAUGGUGUUAGGGUUGAUACUAUGUGUGACAAUAAGUCAUCUUAUGGAGUUAGUGUUGAUACUAUGUGUGACAAUAAGUCAUCUUAUGGAGUUAGUGUUGAUACUAUGUGUGACAAUAAGUCAUCUUAUGGAGUUAGUGUUGAUACUAUGUGUGACAAUAAGUCAUCUUAUGGAGUUAGGGUUGAUACUAUGUGUGGCAAUAAGUCAUCUUAUGGAGUUAGUGUUGAUACUAUGUGUGACAAUAAGUCAUCUUAUGGUGUUAGGGUUGAUACUAUGUGUGACAAUAAGUCAUCUUAUGGUGUUAGGGUUGAUACUAUGUGUGACAAUAAGUCAUCUUAUGGAGUUAGGGUUGAUACUAUGUGUGGCAAUAAGUCAUCUUAUGGUGUUAGGGUUGAUACUAUGUGUGACAAUAAGUCAUCUUAUGGUGUUAGGGUUGAUACUAUGUGUGACAAUAAGUCAUCUUAUGGUGUUAGGGUUGAUACUAUGUGUGGCAAUAAGUCAUCUUAUGGUGUUAGUGUUGAUACUAUGUGUGACAAUAAGUCAUCUUAUGCUGUUAGUGUUGAUACUAUGUGUGACAAUAAGUCAUCUUAUGGUGUUAGGGUUGAUACUAUGUGUGACAAUAAGUCAUCUUAUGGUGUUAGGGUUGAUACUAUGUGUGACAAUAAGUCAUCUUAUGGUGUUAGGGUUGAUACUAUGUGUGGCAAUAAGUCAUCUUAUGGUGUUAGUGUUGAUACUAUGUGUGACAAUAAGUCAUCUUAUGCUGUUAGUGUUGAUACUAUGUGUGACAAUAAGUCAUCUUAUGCUGUUAGUGUUGAUACUAUGUGUGACAAUAAGUCAUCUUAUGCUGUUAGUGUUGAUACUAUGUGUGACAAUAAGUCAUCUUAUGCUUUUAGUGUUGAUACUAUGUGUGACAAUAAGUCAUCUUAUGCUGUUAGUGUUGAUACUAUGUGUGACAAUAAGUCAUCUUAUGCUGUUAGUGUUGAUACUAUGUGUGACAAUAAGUCAUCUUAUGCUGUUAGUGUUGAUACUAACCAUUGUGAUACCUCGUGUAGUGAGUUUAAGAAUAUGUGUGCCAAUAAGUUAUCUUCUUGUGUUAGUGUAUAUACUAACCAUUUUGAUAGCUCGAGUAUUGAUGGUCAGUUUGAGAAUAUAUUUGGCAAUAAGUUAUCUUAUGGUGUUAGUGUUGAUACUAAUUAUAUUGAUAGCUCGAGUAUUGAUGGUCAGUUUGGAAAUAUAUGUGACAAUAAGUUAUCUUCUUGUGUUAGUGUUGAUACUAAUUAUAUUGAUAGCUUGUACAGCGAUGUUCAUUAUGAAAAUAUUUGUACAAAUAAGUUAUCUUUUGGUGUUUUCAGUGAAACUAAGUUUUUUAGUAGUUGUGGUAACAACAUAGUUUUAAAAAAUUUAGGUAACACUCUGAUAUCCUUUGUCUAUUCCAAUUUGGUCACUAAGUUCAAGAAUAAUGCUUUUGAUACGCAUUCUACUAGUAAUAGGAGCAGUAUGGUCAUUGGUCCAUUUUCUAAGGAAGUUGUAAAGCUUCUUUUUGUUUAUAUGGACUUAAAUAACUUUUGUUUCAGAAAGAUAUUUUGUAUGUCUAACCAUUUAGACUUUCUGCUUUACAAAUUUGCAUAUAAGACUUGUGAUCGAAACUCAUAUUUAGUAAACUUUUACCAUAUUGAGACAUCUUCUGAGGUUUCUAUAGUUGAAAAGGUUUUUACUCAAUGUUUUGUAUUGAUCACUUUUGACAAGGUUCGGCGUUUCGUUUAUUCUAUUAGACGAUUCACAGGGUUGUAUGAUAUUAGGUACUCUUCUUGUAGGUGUUAUGAUAUUGUAAUACAAGAUAAACAGAAUGAUUUAGAGUUAACUGGUUAUUCUGUUUCUGAAAGUGUUGAGUCGUCAGAAAGUAAUCAUACAAGUAAUGAACAGAAGGAAAAUAAACUAGGUAAACUACUCGAAAUAGGAGUUCAAUCGCGCGAGAUCGAUAGUAAGUCUGAAAGUUCUUGCUUAAAGUCGACUUUUAAUCACGUUUCUAGAGUAACUGGGAUUUCUAAAGGGGGACCACCGUUAUUGCCAACACCACACACACACAGAACACUACCGUUACUAGCCACACCUAUCCAUUCUAGAUAUUCACAUUUUUACCCAAGAAGACCAAACAUUAAGCAACAGUUUGUACCCUUCUGCAACAGAAAUAGAUACAAAUCAUACCAAGUUACACCAACGCUCAGAACAAAUGUACAAGCACAAGAUAACAGACAACAGAAUCAACAAUUGCUAUUUGAUACCAUAGAUAAUGAUGCCCAGUCAAAAUUUGUUGUGGCUGAUGUUAUUAAGCAUAGAUCUAGUGCAGUCAAGCAAAAAGACGAGUUUUCUAUUAACAAGAAAUUAACUUCGAAAACAACAGAUCAUAGUUCUUCGAAUACUAACCCACGAGACACUCCUUCAAUUGCGGAUAGUUGCGAACCUAUUUCUAGGAUUUGCGCCUCUCCUCCUGAAAAUUGCCUCUCUCCUCCUGGAAGUUGCCUCUCUCCUCCUGGAAGUUACACGUUUCCCACUAGAAGUUCUCUCUCUUCUGAAAGGUUCACAACUUGGCCUCCAAGAGGCAAUACGCUUCUUGAAAAUUGCAUCGAUCAGCCUGUAAGCUGCAUAUCACCUCCAAGACCAUACAGCACAUGGCCUACAAGCUACGCUCUGUUUCCUAUAAGCUACAGCACAGGACCUACAAGCUACUUGUCGUUUCCUAGGAACUGCGACGUUUCUCUCGAAGGUAGCGUCACGAGUGUUACAAUGAAUAACGUUUUUAAUUCAAAGAGUAAGCCAGAGAAAAUCUCUCCGUAAGACAGCAGACGUUACAGAUCAAAUUGCCCGGAUGAAGGAAAGCUUUGAGCUUUAUAGAAUUUACUGAUGCCUCAGACAAAGGGAUCUCUGGCAUUCUUAGCCAGUGUGUGAAUGGUAUGUUGCAUCCUAUAAAAUUAUGUGAGCCGUAAAGUGUUGCCUCGGGAGCAGAAGUAUUUUACCAUUAAACCUGAAGAAGUGGCCAUUGUAUAUGCAAUAGAAAAAGGGACAAUUAUUGGCCGGGAACAAAAUUUAAUCUCCAGACUGACCACAAGGCUUUAUGUUACUUUAGGAGCACUAACUGUACCAAUGCUCGCAUUACAAGAUGGGCUCUAGUGUUACAAGAUUAUUCCUUUGAUGUUGUUCACGUCUGAGGAAAGGACAAUCUGCUUGCUGAUCCGUGCUCAAGAUAGACUUUCCAAUGUGCAGCUACAUAAGUUACAUAUUUAUGUAUUUUUGGUAUAUACAUGUCUUAUGCAUUUUAAUGUUCCAAUGUAUACAUUAUUGUUUGAAAAUGUUUGCACUUUAUGUUAGAUGAAAUUAUGUUGCAUUUAGUAUUAUUGACAUUAAUUUGUUGAUUAUGCAUUUUAAAUUUGAUCGGUUGGUAGAUGUGAUUUUGUGAAUGGUUCAUAGUGUAAUGUGGAUACUUUGGUAAAAAGUAUAAUUGGUAAUUUUUCUUCUAAGUUGUUAUGUUUGGAAGAGUGAUGUUAAUGCGGAUGAAUGUUCCCUAGCUGGAUGUGCUUACCUUGUAGCUGCAAUGAUAUCUUCUUACUUUUCUUUCAGUUUGAGGUACGGAAACUGGUCCAUACUUUGUAAGAACCAGUUUGGGGGGAGAGGGGGAAUGUCGGUGCGUAGAUUAUGGCAUUCUAGCACCAAUGUGUAUUAAGUGCACUAUUUUUGAACGCACUUUCUUUUUGUUGCCUUGCUUGUAAGUUAAUGGAGUGUUUUUGUUCUGCUGGUGUAACGUUUGUUGAGAUUUUUCUGUGUUCCCCUGUUUAGGGUGAGUAUCUAAGGCAUAACUGCGUUUCGCAGUUGUUUCGAUGCCAUAGUGAUAGUCUACUAGACCUUUCUAGUUUGUCUUUACUUUGUCUUUACAGGGAGUUAGCUUGGGAUUGGUGACUAAAGACAGCAGUGUCAGAGUGUGUUGUGUUUUCGAACAUUAAUGUGUACGUUGUGGGACAGCAAGGGGUAGAAUUAUUAUUUAAUUAAUAAAUUCACAGUAUUAAAAUGUUCAAUGUCAUUACUCCAUUAGUUUGUCAUCAUACUUAUAUUUAUAUCAUUAAAUAUUUACAUUGUUA